UGAAGGCGUUAUGCGUUGUAAACUGCUUUUAUACAGGAAGAAACGACUCUUGCGAGAGGCAUUGACGGUACUGUAUGAAUAAGCACCGGCUAACUCCGUGCCAGCAGCCGCGGUAAUACGGAGGGUGCAAGCGUUGUCCGGAUUUAUUGGGUUUAAAGGGUGCGCAGGUGGUUUAUUAAGUCAGUGGUGAAAGACGGUCGCUCAACGAUUGCAGUGCCAUUGAAACUGAUAGACUUGAGUAAAGUAGAGGUGGGCGGAAUUGAUAGUGUAGCGGUGAAAUGCAUAGAUAUUAUCAAGAACUCCAAUUGCGAAGGCAGCUCACUUGGCUUUUACUGACACUCAUGCACGAAAGUGUGGGUAUCAAACAGGAUUAGAUACCCUGGUAGUCCACACUGUAAACGAUGAUAACUAGGUGUCGGCCGAAUCUGGUCGGUGCCACAGCGAAAGCGUUAAGUUAUCCACCUGGGGAGUACGCCGGCAACGGUGAAACUCAAAUGAAUUGACGGG
rnacentral:rRNA from 1 species